rnacentral:sRNA from 1 species
ACAGCCCUUAGAUGACGAUGGUAUAUGCAUGAAGAAUCUAUUUGGUUCGCAGUUGUUUCAAGGCA